rnacentral:ncRNA from 1 species
ACAAAGGCUUUGAAAGAGGAAAGUAGCUGGUUCGAAACCGACAGGGAGGCGCCGGGCACAGACUGAGACCCCGCCAGGCAGAAAUCCAGUGAAGUUCCCUCCCGAGCUGUCCGGGUGAAUGGAUUGCCAACUAGUAGCCAGGAACGCUACCCAGGCGUUACCCAGGGGACCGAUUGCCAAAUGGCCGUCGGGUGGAGCGGGUCGCAAUUGCGACCAACAAGGGUGGUACCGCGGGAGAUCCAUCCCGUCCCUUGA